rnacentral:rRNA from 1 species
GACGAACCGUGCGAACGUUGUUCGGAAUCACUGGGCUUAAAGGGCGCGUAGGCGGCUUGCCAAGUCAGGGGUGAAAUCCAGCAGCUUAACUGUUGAAGUGCCUUUGAUACUGGCGAGCUCGAGGGAGGUAGGGGUCUGUGGAACUUCUGGCGGAGCGGUGAAAUGCGUUGAUAUCAGAAGGAACGCCGGUGGCGAAAGCGACGGACUGGACCUCUUCUGACGCUGAGGCGCGAAAGCUAGGGGAGCAAACGGG